ensembl:snoRNA SNORA70 Small nucleolar RNA SNORA70
CUGCUCAUCAAAAACAUAAUUAAGAAAACGAUGAUGUGCAAUGGCUGCGAACAGCAGUCUCCUCAGUAGUGUGUGCAACCUGUUGCUUACGUGGGUUGCCUUAAGGGACAUUGGAGACCACC